rnacentral:rRNA from 1 species
GCUGGCGGCACGCCUAACACAUGCAAGUCGAACGAAGUAGCAAUACUUAGUGGCAGACGGGUGAGUAACAUGUAGGUAUCUGCCCUUUGGCCUGGAAUAACACGAGGAAACUUGUGCUAAUACCGGAUAAGUCUUUACGGAGAAAGCUUUAUGCACCAUUGGAUGAGCCUGCACUUGAUUAGUUUGUUGGUGGGGUAAUGGCCUACCAAGACUGUGAUCAAUAGCUGAUUUGAGAGGAUGAUCAGCCACAUUGGGACUGAGACACGGCCCAAACUCCUACGGGAGGCAGCAGUGGGGAAUCUUGCACAAUGGAGGAAACUCUGAUGCAGCGAUGCCGCGUGAGUGAAGAAGGCCCUUGGGUUGUAAAGCUCCUUCGUCGGGGAAGAAAAUGACUGUACCCGAAUAAGAAGGUCCGGCUAACUUCGUGCCAGCAGCCGCGGUAAUACGAAGGGACCUAGCGUAGUUCGGAAUUACUGGGCUUAAAGAGUUCGUAGGUGGUUGAAAAAGUUAGUGGUGAAAUCCCAGAGCUUAACUCUGGAACUGCCAUUAAAACUUUUCAGCUAGAGUAUGAUAGAGGAAAGCAGAAUUUCUAGUGUAGAGGUGAAAUUCGUAGAUAUUAGAAAGAAUACCAAUUGCGAAGGCAGCUUUCUGGAUCAUUACUGACACUGAGGAACGAAAGCAUGGGUAGCGAAGAGGAUUAGAUACCCUCGUAGUC